rnacentral:rRNA from 1 species
UACAGAGGUGCCCAAGCGUUGUUCGGAUUCACUGGGCGUAAAGGGUGCGUAGGCGGUCGGGUAAGUCUGAUGUGAAAUCUACGACAAGCCUUAACUGUGAAACUGCAUUGGAUACUAUCCGGCUCGAGGAAUGGAGGGGAGACUGGAAUACUUGGUGUAGCAGUGAAAUGCGUAGAUAUCAAGUGGAACACCAGUGGCGAAGGCGAGUCUCUGGACAUUUCCUGACGCUGAGGCACGAAAGCUAGGGGAGCAAACAGG